CCUGACCUCAACCCCUCCUUCACCUAAUCCACAGAUGUCCAUCUGUCUCCCCAUGUAUCAACACAUCUCUGUCCUCACCUCCUGACCUCAACCCCUCCUUCACCUAAUCCACAGAUGUCCAUCUGUCUCCCCAUGUAUCAACACAUCUCUGUCCUGACCUCAACCCCUCCUUCACCUAAUCCACAGAUGUCCAUCUGUCUCCCCAUGUAUCAACACAUCUCUGUCCUCACCUCCUGACCUCAACCCCUCCUUCACCUAAUCCACAGAUGUCCAUCUGUCUCCCCAUGUAUCAACACAUCUCUCUCCUCUCCUCCUGACCUCAACCCCUCCUUCACCUAAUCCACAGAUAUCCAUCUGUCUCCCCCAUGUAUCAACGCAUUGCUGUCCUCUCCUCCAUCAAACACAUUCCAAAGCCUUCUGUCUUUCUUCAGAGAUCCAUUCUAACAGAACACCCAGUCUCUUUCAUUUCCUAUCAUUCAUUUACUAUCUCAAUGUUUAGCACAUUCAUUCUUCCCAUGACAGACUGACCAGGUGAAUCCAGGAUCCCUUAUUGAUGUCACCUUAAAUUCACUUCAAUCAGUGUAGAUGAAGGGGAGGAGACGGGUUAAAUAAUGAUUCUUUGCCAUUCAGAGGGUGAAUGGGCAAGAAAAGAUUGAAAUCAAAUUUGAUUAGUCACAAUGCAGUAAAAAAUAAUGAAUAAGAACUAAAAUUAACAAAUAAUUAAAGAGCAGCAGUAAUAAUAAUCAUAGCGAGACUAUAUGCAGGGGGCACCGGUUAGUAAUGAGACUAUAUGCAGGGGGCACCGGUACAGAGUCAAUGUGCGGGGUCACCGGUGUCAUACCUCUGCACCAUCUCUCUGUCUCCUACACCCAGGAUGCUGUGGUCAGAGAGGUCGUAAAUUCCUGGAGGAGAAUAUCUCCUCAUGGCCAGAGUAUUUAGAGAAAGUGAGUUUUCAUAUAGAGAGAGAAGGAGGAUAUACACCCAAAAGGGUCACGUUGUGGCAAUACAGACAGGUGGUUAGUAAAGUAACCUGGAGUAAAGUGAGCCGGUACUCCAGAGGUGAAGAGAGGGCAGGGUGAAAGAAGAGGCCUAAAGGACAGGAAGGAGCCGUCUAGAAGAGGCCUAAAGGGCAGGAAGGAGCAGACUAGAAGAGGGUUGGUCAGUGUCCUCCUAGUCCUCACUGGCUCCGUGGUCAGUAAGGAUCCUUCCUCUGGCUCAGGAGGGGUCGACUAGCUCAACAGGUAGCACUACGGAUCACCUCCAUCCACCUGGAGGAAGACACAGGUAGCACUACCAAACACCACACUACUGAAAACAACAAGACAACACCACACUACUGAAGACAACACCACACCACUGAAGACAACACCACACCACUGAAGACAACACCACACCACUGAAGACAACACCACACUACUGAAGACAACACCACUGAAGACAACACCACAC
ensembl:lncRNA